UACGAAGGGGGCUAGCGUUGCUCGGAAUUACUGGGCGUAAAGCGCACGUAGGCGGUCUUUUAAGUCGGGGGUGAAAUCCUGGAGCUCAACUCCAGAACUGCCUUCGAUACUGGAAGACUUGAGUCCGGGAGAGGUGAGUGGAACUGCGAGUGUAGAGGUGAAAUUCGUAGAUAUUCGCAAGAACACCAGUGGCGAAGGCGGCUCACUGGCCCGGUACUGACGCUGAGACGCGAAAGCGUGGGGAGCAAACAGG
rnacentral:rRNA from 1 species